UUCUUGCUUUUCUUCAGGCAGUAUCAGAAACUACUUUUAAAAGUUUACUUGGUUUAACAAAAAAAAUGUGUCCUAACACCUGAAUUCCAGAAGCAAAACACUCAAAAUUUAUACUUCAUAUCUUUAUAUUCUAGCUAAUAAGCUUUUUAAAAGUUCCACACUUUUUAAUAACAAUGUUAUUGUAGAAUAUUCUAUAUAAAAUCUACAUGUAAAUACACAAACACUGCUUGGUAACUAUUAUAAUUGAUAUUAAAAAUGAUAAAAAUACAUUAAUAUAUACGUUUGUUCAUUACUAUCUCAAAUGCUGGCAGGAAGCAAGCUCCUAAAUAUGUUUCCAGUCUUAAAGCAGAAAUUUUAAAUCUUACUGUAAAGUAAGUCACGCUGAAUCCAGUGGAACAUGGUUCCAAAAAAGACUGUGAGGAUAUAGCAUAAAACAUCAAAGCAAUAAUUUCAAAAAAAAUCAGACAAUUUAAAUGAUUUGCAAAAGUACAUAUUGAUAUAUUUGUACGCAGAUAUCUAGAUAAAUAAUUUCAGAACACAAAGCAAUAUGCAAAUGCCAUAAGGUCACUCUUACUACUGAUACAGUUCAAAUUAGAAAAAUUAAUUCAAUUAAUAAAAAAUUCAGAUGCUCUUUUAUCACACAAUGGGUUUUAAGCAAGUGAGAAUUUAAUUACUUUUUACUUUGAGUGUUAAAUAUUUGGAUUUUUUUUGUUGCACAUUAAAACCCUUUUAAAAUUGGUUUUAUUAACAAGGUGAAUCAAAAUGUGCAAAUUGUGAUUAAGUUAUAAUGCACAGAUGGAAUCUCAGUUUCAGAGGAACAAAAUGACAACUGCAAGACUAUUAUAAUUUAUCAUUCUGAAUACAGUGUCCAUUAAGUACCUAAAGAAAUAAGCAUGAAAAAACAUAGCAAUAACUAUAAUAAACUAUUUCUAAAAUACUAUCUUCUUGGUAAACACAUUUUUAGAUUACAAUAAUAAACUUAAGCACAGAUUCCAAGCUUCUAAGGUAUUGUCAGAUUCUAUUCUAAAAUAUUUCAAUAUAAAUAAAUUAAUGAAUUUAUACUAACAUUAUUUCCAUUGGUAGGUAGCAUUUUUUAAAAAGUUAUACUAGCAUGUUGUGGAUUGGGAAUACUGUAACACAAAAUCAGACUAAAAGUCUGUUUCAUAUACUGGGAAAUAUUAAGUGAUUAAAAAUUUUUAUAGGAUCAUUGCUAUUUAGAGACUCAAUAUUUAUAUUAAAAUUAUUACAAUGGUGGUAUAGUUUUGAUAUUACCAAUUUUCUUUCAUAAAAAGAAAUUAUCUAUUCCUUAUAUUAAAUACAUAAUAUGUUUUUAUUGGCCAAUUAUUUCAGUUGAGAUGGCUGCUGCAAUAUCUAAAUGCAAGUCAAAAACCCAAUAGUUUUCACAAUUCAAAGGUUUUUCACUGUAGCUUCAGUAAAUAGCAAUUCAGUCCUUUUGAAUAGUUCCUAAAUAAAAAUGUAAAGAUAAGGCAGGCUUGGGAACUAUGAAAGCGAUUAGGCAACUUCUCAUCCUCUCAAUUACUCCCUUCUUUCAUUCUUUAGAGCAAUUUAUUUCCCAGUCUAAUAAUCUCUUGUGAUACCAAACCCAGGUAAAUUACUUUUUCUUUAUUUUUAAAAGAGCAGGCAGAAUUUAUGGACAUUAUGGAAGACAGAUGCAGUGUCACAGAACACACAACCCCCAAAACCUGACCUUAUUUUUACAACUGCAAGCCCAUGACUCUUUAGUAUAUUGUAAUUCCUCAUAUUCAGAGCCUGACCGCUCCACCUCAAAAUUCUCAAUGAGAUUAACACCCAUAUUGUAACAAACACUUAUUUUUCAAGCAUACAUGACACAACCAUAGUUGCAAAUCAAUCUUCUAUGAACUCGUUGGCUUGUUGUACUUUAAUGGAUUAUGUAUUUUAAUGGAUUAAGUAUGUUAAAAAUGUAUACUUUAUUUCCUUGCUAAUUAAAUAAUUUGGCUUUUCGAUUCCAAAGAGACUCUUAACAUUAACAUUUCAGCUAAUGGGAAGGAAAAUGUAUUCCAACGAAAGUCCAAUUAUGUAUGUCUGCUUUUUCUGUUCUUUUACUUUUACAUACUAUUAAGUAUUAUAUAGUUGUAUAUUCAAAAUGAAACUUGGGAGGGGGUAUGUCUUACUUUGCUUUUACUUGAGUUAGAAAAAAUAUUUACUAGUUUUGCCUAGUAUUUGUCUGUUUAUACAGCUACAUUACAAGAACUCAAGUUGAGUGACUCAAUUCUGGCUAACUUAAAUUAUCUGCAUCAUCACAAGAUUCCUUUGGUUUGGCCAUUUCUCCCUUCAUGCAAGAGAUAAAGAAGCCAGGAAGCCACAAUCUUUUUAUCUUUAAUCCAAGCUAGUUUCCAUAUCUUGUUGGCACUAAGUUUUUAUAAAACAGUUUCCAGUUUGCAUUAGUGGAAAGCAGUUUCCUGCUCAUUUAUGUGGCAGAACACAAAAGCAAAAGAGAUACCAUAUUGAUACAUAGUUGUGUGGCUAGGAUCUGAUAACUGAUAAUGCAAUCAGUCACAAUUUCUCAUAAUUUCAAACUGUAAUCAUGACAAAUUCCACUCAGUUCCCAAAAAUAAUCUUAAAUUUUCACAUAUUUCUAUAUAUUUUCACAUUGAGAUGUAUGAGAAACUGGUAAAGCUAAAACUGCAGCAAAUAAAAUAGAACAAUACUGUUGAAUUCCUUUAAAAGUUCUCAAACCACAGUAAGCAAGAAAUGCACUCCAAUAUAUUCAUUGAAAAAUGAAUUUCAACCCCAUGAUCUUUAUCACUUCCAAAAUUCAUAUAAGGAAAGCAGUUCAAACCAAAUUUUGUUAUGAAUCUAUUAGAAAAGAGUGAUUGUAUUCACAACCAUAAUUAUGAGAAAAUGAAAGAACUGGACUAGCAUAAAAACCAUAGCACAAAUAUAACAGCAAAAUUACUAACAUGCACAAAAUUGCUAUUUAUUUUGCCAAUAUAGGUGCUCACAAAAUAAUUCUUAAUAAAACAGGUAGAUGAUUAAUUAUAUUUAUAAUCACAUUUUUUUCAACCACCAGCACUAAAGAGUACCAGUAAAAUAAACAUAAGAAAAAAAAGACAUAAAAUAUACAAUCACUUGGAAUAAGAAUUUCAGUUACAAAUAUCGUCUUUUAGAUUUAAAAUAAUGCUUUCUAGCAAAGAUUUUAAACAAAAAUUUGGAUUAUAAAAGGGAGAAACAUAGUUGUUGCCAACUAUCUACUCUCUCUAUACAUUUCACUGAUUUUAAAACAAAUUAGCAUUGCCUCUUAAAACAGGAGUAACAGUAUUGAUUAGUCUGGCAUGAAUAUAGGUAUUUAAUACAUCUGCCUAAUCCAUUUAAUAUUACACUUUACAGGGUCAUGAACAGGACGUGACCGACUUAAAUUCUAAAUAUAGUCUCAGUCAUCUGAUAUGCAUUUGGUACAUAAUUAUUAUGAUCUUGUAUCUUUAUUUAUAUAAAGUUUAUGCAAAAUAGACAAGGGAUGAAGUAUACAAUCAUUAUGCUUGGACACAAGCGUUGAUUCUAUUCUGUUAGGUUCUAUUUUAUUAUGUGCAAUGCCUGUACAUAAAAUGCUGAGCAGAUGGGGGGAAUGUUUCCACUUUUCAUUAGGUACUGUAGCCUACCCCAUCUGGUGCAGUGUGCAUAUGCUAGAUUAUAAUUUCCAUCAUCUUCAGACAGUAUAAUCAUUUCCUGUACCAACUGGAAAAUGCAAACAGUAAUCCAACAUAUCUGGAAGUCACUAGAUGGUGAAAACUACACUGAAUGUGCAAAUACAAAUAUUCCUCCCAAGAAUGAAACAUUAGAUUUUUUCUUCACAAAAAAAGACAAGACAAUUUUAAGAACAUGCUUUGUAAUAAAACAAAGAAAGAAGCCACACUUUAAAUUUUACAUAAAUCUGACCAAGAAUUAUGUGCAUUCAAACUAUGGUACUUUUAAAUUACAAUGAGGUUUGCUUAUAGUGGUUUGAGAACAGAGAUACAUUUAUUGUCAAAUGAAGCUCAAAUCUAUCAAUGCUAGGUUGAUUCAUUCUCUUUUUAAUCAAGAACAAAUCACCGUAAGCAAGUAAGUAAAAACACCAAAUUGAAAACUUUUGAAAUAUGUUAGUUAAAAAUCUUGUUUGUAAUGUAUAUAACAUGUGCCAGACUUAAGAAAAUUUUUAAUUUCCUGCAUUUUUAAAUGCUUAUUCAUGACAAAGCAUAAAAUUAAGCUCAUCACAUGAGAUAAUCUACAAUUUUCCUGCCUGAAGCAAUUUUAGAUAUUAUGAUUAUUAUUUCUAUGCAAUUAUGUGGCUUUCAGCUUUUAAAUAUGGGUAUCAUCCAACACAAAUAUGAUGAUCUGUUGGUUGUUUGCACAUGAAUUUCUGGGUUUUGUAGUAAGUACAAGAAAAGAUACACAUCUGAAAUACUUACAAUUUUCUUGUACUUUUAUGACAAUUUACAAAAGACAUAACAAAAAUACAGAAAUUUAUGAAAAUGUCCAAAAUAAUCCAGCAGCCAGAAGAACAUUGUCAAGGCACAUUUUAAAAAAUGUAAUUAAACACAUUUGAACCAGGUGAAAAUCCAUUUUGGGAUCAUUCAAUCAUUAACCCCCAAACAAGAUUGGAAAGUUACAUCUGAUUUCAGAGGAACUACAUAAAUACAAGUAAUUCCUAGGGCUGUAGUAAAUGUGGGUGAUUAUCACCUUAACAUUCAGUUAUAGGAAGAAAGAGAAAACAAAUUUUGGCACUUUCAGAAACUCUUGUUCAAAGGUGAGUGGUAGAGUUCUUGCAGUGUAUGACUGCAAGAUAUAGGGGUUUCAUCUUACUCAUAAAAACUGAGUAGGAAAAAUCUGUACAAACUUCAGAAGACCACAUAGUAGUGAAGUUUUGUGAAGUCAUUAAAGAAGAGCUUGUGCAAACCUGAUUUCCUCAGGAUCUGAGGAUGAUAUCUUGCACAGUGUUUUUCCACCUAAGUCAGAAAUAUUUUUUCUCUUAUGGGAUGAAAAAGCUUUUGACACCAACCCAAUAUGACUAAUUAACCUAUUUAUAUUUGGAAAACAUUAUACACGUGUGUGCGUUCAAUAUCCUUCAAGUUUUAGGUUUGUACUAAAAAUUCAUUAAACUGACAGAAAAUCAUGUCACUAUGUUACAGGUACAUCUAGUUAUAUUACUAAUUACCAGAUGACACAUCCAGAAUGUAAGAUUAUGUACUGCUGAUACAUACAGCAUCUGGUUUAAUUAAAAACAAAGAUGUAGGAGAAAAUUGGGAUUUAAAAUUGUAUCAUUUAUCCUUCAAUAUACUCUUUGGAUAAUCUAUAUUUUUAGGUGGACAACAUGUCAAUGUAGAUGGAAAGUAUCAGUUAACACAAAUACUGUGUAAUUUAAAGUGUGAGACGAACGUUUGGCUGGUUGUUCUAUAAUCAACACAGAAAAUAACUUUGUUACCUUAACCAUCUUCCUUUAUAUAUAAAAAAAUCUGGUACCCUCAAAUAACAUACAUGGUAUAAUUACAAUUCAGAACUGAUAAUGCAUCUUUUUUAAAAAAAGGGUUUUAUUUCAGAAAAACCAAAUAUAACUUUCAGAACCGGAGUUUUAUGAUUGAUACACAGAACUCUGUAUCACUCCUUGAGGCAGACAUCUCAUUCUAUCUCACAAUGGCAAGUGCUACUUAUUUUCAUAUAACAAAAUGUAGCUACUUUCAUGUAAGUUUCCCAGUAUCUUUCAAAACCUCAAAUUCAAGUCUCCAUUCAAAUUCCUCCUAAGAACUAUAAUGUGAAAACUUAAAACAUUGUAUUUUAUGGUUAGAUUGCAAAUUACAUGGUAAUAUAUUUCAUAUUUUAGGAAUUUAUUUUAGGUAUAAAUUACAUAGUAUUAUUUCAAAUUAAAAAAUUUAGAAGAUUAUUCCAAGCAUUAGGGCAAAUCAUAUUGCUUUAUAUUAUUUGAUUAAUACUUAAAUUCAUAGAAUUUGAACUUAUUGUACUGAAAUUAGGUAACUGAAAGACUGUGUAAACUGGAACACAUGUAAACAAUGAAAUUUGAAGGACAUAAAAGCAAAUAAUAAUUUCAGGCAAAAUUCCUCCAGUUUGAAUUACAUGUGCAAGGAUCACUCUAUAGUCUAUUCAAAAUGUUUAAUAAACUAACAACAAAGGCCAAAUUAUCAUAUUUAUAUGUAAAACCCCUUUUAUUGUUUACUGUUAUUUCACAUUGGCCAGAAGCCAGUGGGAGUUUUACUUCAUUCCACUUAUCACCAAUAAAGUGUUUUGAAUGGGAUGGCGAUAGCUGAGCAAGAAAAAGAAGUUCAAAACCAUGUUGGGCAAAUGUAAAAGAACAGACAGAACUUUCUAGGCUUUUAACAUCAAGUCUUUCAUACAAAACAACUAGUGUGUAUUUAAUGUUCUUUAACUGAUAUAUCAACAUAAUUAUAUUUUUUUAAAACAUAUAUCUCAUUUUUAAUUAAAGGAUAUUACUUUUUCAGGCACUGUUUAAAUUAGUAGGAUAUUCACAUGGGCAGAUUAGCAGGAUAUUAGCUAUUAACUGUGACUGCUAAUUGUAUUACUAAGUUCCUGAAAUGUUCUUCCUCAAAAAUUUAUUUACAUUUAUUAAGAGGUCCUUUUACACUUUGACCCAAACAGAAAUCAUGUGGCCUUCCAGAUGCUGACAGAAUACAACUUCCACAAUAAUAUAUCAUUCCCUCUGGAAUUUGGGGAUAAGUUUCUCUAAAAUAAGAAUUUUCUUUUCUUCCCAUCACUGGUAGAUUACAGAUUUUAACAGUUAAACAUGCAUAAAGGGCAACAGCUGUUAUAUUUAUAAAUUGAAUAGCAAAACUAUAAUAAUUCUGUACGAAAAACUCAACUUAUAUUUGUAUAAUUACUGGAAGUAGACACUGCAGUAAGAUAAUAAAAUACCCAACUAAUGGCCCUGAAAUCUUCCCUCAGCACAUAUAAAAUACCCACCCCCAUAUUGGCCCGUGCAUCAUUUAAUAAAAUUCUAAGCAUUGAUAAAUAAAGCUGUACUGUACUGCUGUACAGCAAAUUCCAAGAACUUUUAGACUUGCAAGAAGUACUACAAAUGUAAGUAUUUUGGAUUGAAAGUCUACCUUGUGCACAAAUGUUUCCAUAACAUUUUUUGAAUGAAAUAAAAAAUAUGUAGGGUUAACAAGUGAGGAAAGAGGCUUAAUGAAUGUCAGGUGUAAGGGAACCUGGACUGCUUUAAAAAUACUGUAAACGUUAAUUCUUACUUGCAAAUAACAAACAUUUGUAAACAUCUUACAAAAGAAACAGAUCCUGCAAAUAAAAUUAAGUAAGAAGAGCAUGCAGGUCAAUAAUAAAUAUUAAAUACCAUCUACUCAGAAAAAAUUAAGAUGAUCAAUAGUAAGAAAAUCUAAUAUAUUUUCACUUUGUAUUGAGUGUGCUAAUUAUUCUUGAAAAAAAUCAUGAAUUCCAUGUGACAAAUGUAAAAAAGUUUGAAACUCAAAAUGAUACCCAUUAUAUAACGUGAAACAAACAUGUUCAUUAUUCUCUACUUAUGAAACAGAUACCAAAUAGCUAUUCCUAUAGUAGUAAACCGUCUUUAUUAGAUAACUGAAAAAACCUUGGAACCAAGAAUGUCAAUUGCUAUACAAUAAAAAAGGAAUGUAAUGAUUCUCUAAUGAGAAACUUCAAAUAAUUUUUGACCAUUAUUAGCAUGUUCAAAUAAAUGUUCACACUUUUUUUUAAAAAAAAGGCAAUAAACUGAUGCAACUAAAAUUUUAAAGGAAUGAUAAUGACUUUUAAAUGACCAGAGUCCUGGUGAUGCAGUGGUUGCAAUGCAGUAUUGCAGGCAAACUCUGCCCACAGCCUGGAGUUCGAUCCUGAUGGGGGUCAAGAUUGACUCAUCCAUCCAUCCUUCCAAUGACCCAGAUUGUUGGGAGCAAUAUGCUGAUAUUGUAAACUGCUCAGAGAGUGCUGUAAAAGCACUAUGGAACAGUAUAUAAACUUAACUGCUAUUGCUAUUAAACGAAAGUGAUACCCAAAAAAGUAGCUCACUAUCACCUAAUUUACUGGAAUUAAAAUAUAAGACAGUAUCAACCUUUGGAAACCAAAUAUUAAGCUACUCUAAAUGUCACAUUGCUGACUAUAUCCUAUGCUACUUUUUAAAAAACCAAAACUAUGAAUAAUAUUAAAGACAACUAUGUAUUUUCUUGCUGUGGAAAAAAAACAUGCAAGGUUUAUCAAGAGCGGGGGGGAAAAACCAAAAAACAAGUUGUCAAAAAAAAAAAGAAAGAAAGAAAAAGCAACCCUUAUGAUUACAUACAUGAAACUGUAUUAAUACAUUCAGCUAGAAUCUUAUUACUCUACAGACUAUAAAGAGGUCUAUUAAAAAUAAGAAAUUUAUGUUGACUACAUCUCUUACUGAAUAGAAGAAUCAGGAAUUCUAUUCAAAGUUCUAUGAAUAAUCAAUAUUACAAAUAUAUAACUGCUUUUCAGAAUUUCUAAUGUGUAGAAAAUACUGCAUUAAUCAAUAUUUAUUUUUAGUUUAAUCCACAUUUAUAUAGGGUAGUCAAACAGAACUUGAAAGAAACAGAAAUAUAAGUUCUAAAAAUUUUCAACUUCUACAACUUUACUUCUACUAGCUAUGAUUUUUUUUAAAUAGUUAAGGUCUAAUGCUCAAAUCUAUGAAUGAACCCAGUGAUUUCAAAGCAAUGUGUUCAAAUUGUUAAGAAGAGCUAGGUCAGCCUUCAAGCAUAGCAGCCACUGACUCUAAUAGCUGUUGCUUCUUGAAUCUUUUAGUUUCAACUUUGGCUUCCUAAACAAAAACUUUAUAAAAACAAUUUUACAAAUCUGUGGUUAAGAAGACAGACUAUUUUAAUACUGGCUUCUUAAAUCCUAAAGAAAAACCCAUGUUGCUCUCCUUUUCUGCAGAUAUGCAUAGACAGGGCAUACAAUAAUAGGACCAACUGGAUGCUACAGAUCUGAAUUAGCUAUUUGGCAAUUAACUGAUAAGACAACAAAAACCACAUAUCACAUCCAAAAAGAAAUGCAUGCAAUUAGCAAAGGAGGGAAAGGGAAGGGAUAGUUGGAGAGACCACUCUCAUACUUACCUGACCAUAUC